UACGUAGGGCGCAAGCGUUAUCCGGAAUUAUUGGGCGUAAAGAGCUUGUAGGCGGUUUGUCGCGUCUGCCGUGAAAAUUCGAGGCUCAACCUCGAACUUGCGGUGGGUACGGGCAGACUAGAGUGUGGUAGGGGAGACUGGAAUUCCUGGUGUAGCGGUGAAAUGCGCAGAUAUCAGGAGGAACACCGGUGGCGAAGGCGGGUCUCUGGGCCGAUACUGACGCUGAGGAGCGAAAGCGUGGGGAGCGAACAGG
rnacentral:rRNA from 1 species